GGUUGGUUAGCUCAGUUGGUUAGAGCGUGGUACUAAUAAGCUAUCCGGCUUAACGGUAAAUGCCAAGGUCAUGAGUUCGACCCUCAUACUGACCA
rnacentral:tRNA from 1 species